rnacentral:lncRNA from 1 species
CUAGGGCUGGCAAAUCCUACCGAUCCAAACCAACCAACCAAGUCCGUCCCGAACCAAGGAUCUCGGUUACCAAGGGGUUCGGUUACCGAACUUGUGGUACGGUACAACCGAACCGAAUAGGGGUAAUCGGUACGGUAUCGGUAUGGAAUUUUAAAGAAAUACGGUAUACCGUACCGUACCACGUAUUAAAUAUAAUAUUUAAUUAUUUUAAAUAUUUCUUAUAUAAUUAAUCAUAACCGUUGAUUUUAUUCCAUAUUAACUAACAACAGUUAGAUUAAAACUUUGCAAACCCUAAUCCCAUUCCCGAUUUCCCUCAGUCCCUCUCUCAUUUAGCCACUCUGCCUCUCACCUCGUCUCUCUCUCUCUCUCGAACCCGAGCGAGACCUGAGCGGCUGAGCCUCUCUCUCAAACUCUUGGUCCAAACCCUAAUCCCUCAGUCCCUCUCUCGAC